rnacentral:rRNA from 1 species
GACAGAGGAUGCAAGCGUUAUCCGGAAUGAUUGGGCGUAAAGCGUCUGUAGGUGGCUUUUUAAGUCCGCCGUCAAAUCCCAGGGCUCAACCCUGGACAGGCGGUGGAAACUACCAAGCUGGAGUACGGUAGGGGCAGAGGGAAUUUCCGGUGGAGCGGUGAAAUGCGUAGAGAUCGGAAGGAACACCUGUGGCGAAAGCGGCUCACUGGACCAUUACUGACGCUGAUGCACGAAAGCUAGGGGAGCAAACAGG